rnacentral:tRNA from 1 species
AGUAUAGCGCCGGAAUGAACGGAUUAUAUUGAUGUUAUAAAUCAUAAGAAAUAUAUCUUCUAUACUU